GAGCGAGGCGUAGUGGUUUGAGCGUUGGACUACAAGUCUGGAGGCCAGGGUUCGAAUCCUGGCUCGGCCA